rnacentral:lncRNA from 1 species
AUGAGAACUGUUAGGGAUUAAACUCCAUCUUUAUGAUAGCUAUUAAAUUGCUAGACAACUUUUUCACAACACAAUCAUCGGGUGCAAACAUAUAACAAUUUUUGGUGUUUUUACUGUUUUCCCUCUUCAGAUCCACAUACACAGGACAUGUCUAACACUAAUAGUUUAUAUAUGCCAUGAUAUAUUGAUAUUAGCCUAUGAAUGAAUUUAAACAAUUAAUCAUAACUAUUUCAUGAAUAUUUUCAAGUAUUUGUCGAAAUUUUCGAUGGCAUGAAAGUGUCGGCUUAUGGU